CUUCUUGAACCAUAUAAAUUAGCCUUGCCCUUCUGAGUUUUGAUAUCCUGCUGUUUCUCAUCGAGCUGUUCAGCAACUCAUUCAGGUCUGAAGAUUCUGUGAAGAUUUCACAUAAAAAUGAACUUCAAAUGGAUCUGGCUGAUGGCACUUAUCCUGAUCAUAGGAUUGGCUAGUGUGGCAGAUGCCAGGCGUGGCCGUCGCCGAGGCGGCAGCCGAGGUGGUCGACGGGAUGGCCGACCCGGUUUUCGCUGGGGCCGCCGCUGGGGCCGCCGCUGGGGCCGAGGCUGAGGAGCAAAGUAGAACGAAAUGAAGGCACAGACCAGGAACGUCUGACAAUGGCAUCCCUCCAAGACAAAAACAGAAAACAAAAUGCUAGCGUAGCAGUCGCUUUUCAACAUUUCCUGCUCUCUACCCCGAUUUUCUGCUUCUUUCCUUGCCAGGGAGGUCAGUCUGCAAACAACAACUGCAAAUCACCUUCCCCAAAAAUCUAUAAACGUAGCUAAUUAGUCUCAGCUCCAUAAUAUUUUUUGCCAACCAUGGCUGUUUCUCUUGAGAAUGUAGAAAUGCAUUUUAUUUCCCACUGUUUGCUUUAUCUUUAUGAAACUUUCUUGCAUUCAGCAUAUUAAAGCAUUGCAAAA